AGGGUUUGAUUCUGGCUCAGGAUGAACGCUGGCGGCGUGCCUAACACAUGCAAGUCGAGCGAAGCACUUUACUUAGAUUUCUUCGGAAUGACGAGUUUAGUGACUGAGCGGCGGACGGGUGAGUAACGCGUGGGUAACCUGCCUCAUACAGGGGGAUAACAGUUAGAAAUGACUGCUAAUACCGCAUAAGACCACAGCUUCGCAUGGAGCAGUGGUAAAAACUCCGGUGGUAUGAGAUGGACCCGCGUCUGAUUAGCUAGUUGGUAAGGUAACGGCUUACCAAGGCGACGAUCAGUAGCCGACCUGAGAGGGUGACCGGCCACAUUGGGACUGAGACACGGCCCAA
rnacentral:rRNA from 1 species